UGGGGAAUAUUGCUCAAUGGGCGCAAGCCUGAAGCAGCGACGCCGCGUGAGGGAUGAAGGCCUUCGGGUUGUAAACCUCUUUCAGCGCCGAAGAAGCGAAAGUGACGGUAGGCGCAGAAGAAGCACCGGCUACUACGUGCCAGCAGCCGCGGUAAUACGUAGGGUGCAAGCGUUGUCCGGAAUCAUUGGGCGUAAAGAGCUCGUAGGCGGUCUGUCGCGUCUGCUGUGAAAACCUGGGGCUUAACCCCGGGCCUGCAGUGGGUACGGGCAGACUAGAGUGCGGUAGGGGAGACUGGAAUUCCUGGUGUAGCGGUGAAAUGCGCAGAUAUCAGGAGGAACACCGGUGGCGAAGGCGGGUCUCUGGGCCGUAACUGACGCUGAGGAGCGAAAGCAUGGGUAGCGAACAGG
rnacentral:rRNA from 1 species